rnacentral:rRNA from 1 species
AUUGAACGCUGGCGGCAGGCCUAACACAUGCAAGUCGAACGAGUGGCGGACGGGUGAGUAAUGUCUGGGAAACUGCCUGAUGGAGGGGGAUCACUACUGGAAACGGUAGCUAAUACCGCAUACCAUCGGAUGUGCCCAGAUGGGAUUAGCUAGUAGGGGGGGUAAAGGCUCACCUAGGCGACGAUCCCUAGCUGGUCUGAGAGGAUGACCAGCAAACUUGGAACUGGGACACGGUCAAGACUCCUACGGUAGGCAGCAGGGGGGAAUAUUGCGCAAGGGGCGCAAGCCUGAUGCAGCCAGGCCGCGUGUAUGAAGAAGGCCUUCGGGUUGUAAAGUACUUUCAGCGGGGGUGCGUUACCCGCAGAAGAAGCACCGGCUAACUCCGUGCCAGCAGCCGCGGUAAUUC